CAGCAGCAGCCACGGUAAUACGGAGGGUGCAAGCGUUAAUCGGAAUUACUGGGCGUAAAGCGCACGCAGGCGGUCUGACAAGUCAGAUGUGAAAUCCCCGGGCUUAACCUGGGAACUGCAUUUGAAACUGUCAGGCUGGAGUCUUGUAGAGGGGGGUAGAAUUCCAGGUGUAGCGGUGAAAUGCGUAGAGAUCUGGAGGAAUACCGGUGGCGAAGGCGGCCCCCUGGACAAAGACUGACGCUCAGGUGCGAAAGCGUGGGGAGCAAACAGGAUUAGAUACCCCUGUAGUCCCUGUCUCUUAUAC
rnacentral:rRNA from 1 species